CCAGAACUGGGGAAGAGAGGCGGAACUCCUGAGCCCUUGGGUACUAGUGUUCCUUACAUCGAACAAGAACUGGCCGCUGUUUCAGACCGGAAGGGUGCAGAGAUGAAAGACAGGACCCAGGGUCUCAGGAUGCCUGUUGCCUCCUAAGAGAGUUGGACAUUUCUAUUUUGAUUUGCAUUUCAAUUGAGGUUGAUAGGGAGUGACCUUCACGUCUGAAUGACCUGCAGAUGAGAACAGAAUAGACUUGAUUAUGAAGCAAGAAAUUUUUAAAGGAUUUAUCUGAUGGAACAUCAAGAGGAUUCUUUCUUUCUUUUAAGAGAUAUGAGGUCUCACUCUGUCAUAGUGGCACAAUCAUAGCUCAGUGCAGCCUUGAACUCCUGGGCUCCAGCGAUCCUCCUGCCUCAGCCUCCCAAGCAGCUGGGACUACAGAUGAAUACCAUCAUGCCCCCAGCUAGUAAGAGGGUUCUAUGUGUUGAUUCACUGGGAAACCAGAGACUAGAGAUACCUGUGAAGACACUUUCAAGAAGUUAGAAGAAUUACCCUUGAAUGAAGAAAGGAGCUGACUAGAAGUAGUUUAUUGAAUAACACACAAAGAUUGUUUCAAACCUACAAAAGAUAAAUGUGAGGAAGGGAUUUGGGGAAUCCUCCUAUGUCCUCCAGUCUGGCUAUACAUUAGGAUGGAACAGAAAUCCUACCAAUGUGAUGAAUGUGGCAAAGCUUUCAGAGUGCAUACCUCAAUGGCCAUCAGAAAACCUAUACUGGAGUGAAACCCUGUGAAUGAAUGAGUAUUAUAAGACAUUCAGGUAGAAUUUUCCAUUUUUAUGUCAGACAUUUUUAUCUCUAGAAAUCGAAUUUUAAUUUUUUUAAUAUCUUUUGUGUCUGCUAAACAAAUUCAAUCCUUCCCCUUGAUUUUUGCUUAUAUAGUCAUAAUAUCAUUAAUAUCCUUGUUUGUUGAUUCUUUGUGUCAGUUCUAGGUCAGUUUUGAAUAACUGAUUUUUCUCAUCAAUACAGGUUGUAUUUUCCUAUUUGUUUACAUGCCUAGUAAUAACUGUAUGUCAGACAUUUUCCAUUUUACCUUGUUGGAGACAGAAUACUUUUCAUUCCUAUAACUAUUCUAGGGAGUGGAGGAUGCAGUUAAGUUACAUUAGGUCAGAGAACAUACUUUGUAUUAUUUAAAUCCUUCUGAUGUAUUAAGGUUUGUUUUUUUACCUUGUAUAUGAUUUGUCCUGAAGAAUGUUCCUUGUGUGCUGGAGAGGAAGGUAUAUUCUGCUAUUCUUCAGUGGCAUGUUCUAGGGCUAUAUUAGGCCUAGUUGGUUAAUAGGGUUCAAGUCCUCUAUUUCCUUAUUGAUCUUCUUUCUGGUGUUAAACUAUUAUUGAAAAUGGGCUAUUGAAGCCUCCAACUAUUAUUGUUUGAAUUGUCUAUUUCCCUGCUGCAUCUCUUUCAGUGUUUGUUUAAUGUAUUUUGGGGGUAUUUCAGUAGCUGAAUAUACAUUUGUCAUUGUUAUAUCUUCCUGAUGAAUUGACACCUGUAUUGUUAUAAAAUGCCCUUUUUUAUCUGAAAUAGUAUCUUGUUUUGGUUUUAAAGUCUAAUUUGUCUUGUAUAUAACCACUCGAGCUUUCUUAUGGUUGCUAUUUGCAAAAUACAUCUUUUUCCAUCCUUUUACUUUUAAUCUCUUUGUAUCUUUGAAACUAAACUGUGUCUCCUGUAAACAGCAUAUAAUUGGAUCUUAUUUUUUUAUCCAGUCUGACAAUAUCUGCUUUUUCAUUGGAUUGAUUAAUCCAUUCACAUUUUAUUAUUGAUACGGGGUUUCUUUUUAGACCACAUUUCAUCUGGAAGAAGAUAUAGUUGGAUUUACGUCUGCCAUUUUACUUUUUUUGUUCUCUUUAUCUUAUUAUUAUGAACCCAUUCCUUUUUUUUUUUUUUGACAGGGCCUCACUCUGCCCCCAGACUGGAGUGCGGUGACAUGAUCAUGGCUCACUGAAGCCUUGAAUUCCUGGGCUCAAGUGAUCCUGCUGCCUCAGCCUCUCAAGUAGCUGGGACUAUAGGCAUGCACCACUAUGCCCAGCUAACUUUUUAAAAUUUUUAGUAGAGAUGAGGUCUCACUAUGUUGCCCAUGCUGGUCUCAAACUCCUGAGCUCAAGUGAUCCUCCCACCUUGGCUUCCCAAAAUGCUAGGAUUGUGCAUUUUCUGCCCCAAUCAUAGAAUCAACCACUUUUUUAAAGGGCCCUAGUUCCCUUUAGAGGGAAAUGGUGUUUCAGGACUGCAAUUUUGGUGUGAAGGGUGCUCACUGCUCCUGGUAGAUCUUUGUUUCUAGGUAUUUUCAGUGGAAAGGGCGAGAACAAAUUUUUUCUUUUUCUUUUUAGUUGGCACAUAAUAAUUGUACAUAUUUAUGGGACACAGGGUGAUAUUUUGAUAUGUAUAUACAAUGUGUAAUGACCAAAUCACGGUAAUUAGCAUAUCCAUUACCUGAAACAUUUAUCAUUUCUUUGUGUUGUGAACAUGCAAAAUCCUCUCCUCUAUGUUUUUAAAAAUAUACAAUAAUUUCUAGUUAAUUAUAUUCACCCUACAGUGCUGCAGAACACCAGAACUCCUUCCUCCUAUCUAGCAAUAAUUUUGUGUCUAUUAAGCAAUGUUUCCCCAUCUCUCCCCUCCACUACCCUCCAUAGGCUCUAAUACCCACAAUUCUAUUUUCUACUUGCAUGAGCUCUAAAUUAUUUUUACCUCCCACAUAUAAGAGAGAACAUGUAGUUAUUUAUCUUUCUGUGCUUAUUUUGCUCAACAUAAUGUCCUCCAGGCUCAUCUAUGUUGCCACAAAUGAUAGAAUUUUAUUCUUUUUAUGACUGCAUAGUAUUUCAUUGUGCAUAUAUGCCACAUUUUCUUUAUCCAUUUGUCUGUUGAUGGACACUGGGUUGAUUUUAUCUCUUAGCAAUUGUGAAUAUUAUAGUUCUGUAAUAAGCAUGGGGAAAAAGUAUCUCUUCGAUAUUUAGAUUUCCUUCCUUUGGCUAAAUAUUCAGUAAAGGCAUUACUGUAUCAUAUAGUAGCCCUAUUUUUAAUUUUUUGAGAAACCUUCACACUGUUUUCCAUAAUGGCUGUACUAAUUUACAUUUCCACCAAAAGCAUAUAAAAAUUCCUUUU
rnacentral:lncRNA from 10 species